AGGUACACUAACAUCACAAUAAGACAACAAAUAGGGACAACAUACAUACAGUCCCGACUGUUGUCGUACUCUGCGUGCCAUAUCACGCUACACCACGCAGUGGCGCUCUAAUCCUAUUACCAGAAUUUAACGUAACCUUUACACUCUGUUACACGUGCCGUAAAAUCCGUGGGUGAGGCCUCCUCAAACAUUAAUAUUUUUGGGCGUUUCAUUCAAAUGACGCUAGGAUUUCUCCGUGGCAUUUACUAUCAGCUGUGCUUGCGUACGAUAAGAUCUGAGCGGAAAGCACAGGUUCAUAAAUGUCACGCGCCCUCUGGCGUAUAUCGCAAAUACACCUACGCAUACACCAUUUUUUUACGCAAUGUUGAUAAAUGAGGGCCAUUAAGAAGAGAGUUUAAAUGAGUGUAUGGCGAUGCAGCCCCGAGUCCGAGCAGAGAAAACAUGAGAGCAGCGCCCGGGACACGGGUGACAUGCAGGAAGGGAGGCGAGCACCGGGAGACAGACAGACAAGCGGGGACGCGAAGGGGAGAAGCACUCGCGCCUGGGAGCGACAGGGGGAAGACAGCAGGGACCGAGGACGCACACCCGCUGAGCUGCUGUGUCUCUCUGCGUCUGGUAACCGCUCUCUCCACGCGGUCUCCUCGGGAUCCACCUCUCCUCCAGGACCGACCUCCAACAUGAACCUCUUCUGCUUUUCACUGGAGGGGUCCAUGGACAGUUUAUAUGAGGCGGUGCAGGCCUCUAGUGACGUUCCGCUACAGCCUGUCCCGAGCCGUGCCUCCAGCCGCCCCUGCAGUCGCACUGUGAGCCGCUCUGGAAGUCCUGCAGUCCUGCUCGAUGAUCACAAGAAAUGGAGAGGCUCGGGGAAGUCUAUUUCUGUGGAUAUGCCUCAGUUGAACACGACCACUAAUAAAAAGAAAAAAGGUAAGCUCAAGCAACAGUUUGGCCACUGAGAGCUGACGUUUUCAACAAAUAAU
rnacentral:lncRNA from 1 species